ensembl:snRNA
AAAAAUCCCUUCUGCAGUGAGUGGCACACAUAGGGCAGCUCACUUGCUCUUCAUGCAGAAACAACAUCAAAAGAUUUUGAAAACAGAAUUUUUUGACAGUAGGGCAGCUAGUGACAGUUGGGUUCUGGUGCUCCC